ensembl:snRNA LOC120102579 U6 spliceosomal RNA
GUGCUCACUUUGGCAGCACGUGUACUUAAAUUGGAACAAUAUAGAGAAUUAACAUGGCCCCUACUCAAGGAUGACACACAGAUUCAUGAAGCAUUCCAUAUUUUU